AAAAAAGGUAAGCUACUAAGAGCGAAUGGUGGAUGCCUUGACUGGUAAAGGCGAUGAAGGACGUACUAGACUGCGAUAAGCUACGGGGAGCUGUCAAGAAGCUUUGAUCCGUAGAUUUCCGAAUGGGGCAACCCAAUGUAUAGAGAUAUACAUUACCUAUAUAGGAGCGAACGAGGGGAAUUGAAACAUCUUAGUACCCUCAGGAAAAGAAAUCAAUAGAGAUUGCGUCAGUAGCGGCGAGCGAAAGCGCAAGAGGGCAAACCCAGUGCUUGCACUGGGGGUUGUAGGACUGCAAUGUGCAAGAGCUGAGUUUAGCAGAACAUUCUGGAAAGUAUAGCCAUAGAGGGUGAUAGUCCCGUAUGCGAAAAACAAAGCUUAGCUAGCAGUAUCCUGAGUAGGGCGGGACACGAGGAAUCCUGUCUGAAUCCGGGUCGACCACGAUCCAACCCUAAAUACUAAUACCAGAUCGAUAGUGCACAAGUACCGUGAGGGAAAGGUGAAAAGAACUGAGGUGAUCAGAGUGAAAUAGAACCUGAAACCAUUUGCUUACAAUCAUUCAGAGCACUAUGUAGCAAUACAGUGUGAUGGACUGCCUUUUGCAUAAUGAGCCUGCGAGUUGUGGUGUCUGGCAAGGUUAAGCAAACGCGAAGCCGUAGCGAAAGCGAGUCUGAAUAGGGCGCUUAGUCAGAUGCUGCAGACCCGAAACGAAGUGAUCUAUCCAUGAGCAAGUUGAAGCUAGUGUAAGAACUAGUGGAGGACUGAACCCAUAGGCGUUGAAAAGCCCCGGGAUGACUCGUGGAUAGGGGUGAAAGGCCAAUCAAACUUCGUGAUAGCUGGUUCUCUCCGAAAUAUAUUUAGGUAUAGCGUUGUGUCGUAAUAUAAGGGGGUAGAGCACUGAAUGGGCUAGGGCAUACACCAAUGUACCAAACCCUAUCAAACUCCGAAUACCUUA
rnacentral:rRNA from 1 species